UAACGGGUUGCAGCAGUGAGGAAUAUUGCACAAUGGGGGGAACCCUGAUGCAGCAACGCCGCGUGGAGGAUGACGCAUUUCGGUGUGUAAACUCCUUUUAUAUGUCAAGAAAAUGACGGUAGCAUAUGAAUAAGCACCGGCUAACUCCGUGCCAGCAGCCGCGGUAAUACGGAGGGUGCAAGCGUUACUCGGAAUCACUGGGCGUAAAGGACGCGUAGGCGGGUUGGAAAGUCAGGUGUGAAAUCCUACAGCUUAACUGUAGAACUGCACUUGAAACUUCUAAUCUAGAGUAUGGGAGGGGGAGAUGGAAUUAGUGGUGUAGGGGUAAGAUCCGUAGAUAUCACUAGGAAUACCUAAAGCGAAGGCGAUCUCCUGGAACAUUACUGACGCUAAGGCGUGAAAGCGUGGGGAGCAAACAGGAUUAGAUACCCCUGUAGUC
rnacentral:rRNA from 1 species